CAUAGCGACUAUCGUGGCAUAUCAAUAAGCGGAGGAAAAGAAACUAACAAGGAUUCCCUUAGUAACGGCGAGUGAAGCGGGAAGAGCUCAAAUUUGAAAUCUUCAAGGUUUUACCUUGACGAAUUGUAGUUUAAAGAAGUGUUUUCUGUUGGAGUUUUGGUAAAAGUUCUUUGGAAUAGGACAUCAUAGAGGGUGAGAAUCCCGUAUUUGACCGUUACUUUCCAGCUGUGUGAUACACUUUCAAAGAGUCGGAUUGUUUGGGAAUGCAGUCCAAAAUGGGUGGUAAAUUUCAUCUAAAGCUAAAUAUUGGCGAGAGACCGAUAGCGAACAAGUACCGUGAGGGAAAGAUGAAAAGAACUUUGAAAAGAGAGUUAAACAGUACGUGAAAUUGUCAAAAGGGAAGCGUUUGACACCAGUGUUGUUUAGUUGAAAAUCAAUUCAAUAGUUUUUGAUUCUAAGUAGUAUUGACUUCAUCAGCUUGCUGCUUUCUUCUCAGAAAUUAUUGAAUGCACUUUUCAGUUAACAAGUCAACAUCAAUUUCUUUUGUUGUAAAAGGGUAAGAGGAAGGUGGCUUGCGCUUCGGCUCAAGUGUUUAUAGCCUUUUAUCUCUGCAAUCGGAGAGAUUGAGGUCUGCAGCGUAGAUCCUUCGGGGUUAGAUACAUUGGUGCUAAGCUAUAGCCUUGUAUAGACAACUUGUUGACUAUGCUCAGUCAUGUAGCUUACUCGCUGAUGCUAUUUUACCUACGCUUAGGAUGUUGACGAGACUGUCGAUCUC
rnacentral:rRNA from 1 species